CAAUAGCGUAUAUUAAAGUUGUUGCAGUUAAAAAGCUCGUAGUUGGAUUUCGGGGUGGCCUGGCUGGUCCGCCGCAAGGUGAGUACUGGUCAGCCGCCCUUCCUCUCGAAAGCCCCGACUGCUCUUUACUGCAGUGGUCGGGUAGUUCGGGACGUUUACUUUGAAAAAAUUAGAGUGUUCAAGGCAGGCUAUCGCCUGAAUACAUUAGCAUGGAAUAAUGGAAGAGGACCUCGGUCCUAUUUUGUUGGUUUCUAGGGCCGAAGUAAUGAUUAAGAGGGACAGUUGGGGGCAUUCGUAUUUAAUUGUCAGAGGUGAAAUUCUUGGAUUUAUGAAAGACGAACUAGUGCGAAAGCAUUUGCCAAGGAUGUCUUCAUUAA
rnacentral:rRNA from 1 species